AGGACCACUGAGCAAGGCCUUGGAAAACCAGAGAGAUUAGAGCGGUGAGUCGCGCCGGUCACGUUGGACGCCUGCGUGUUAGGAGAUUCUGGAGCCAGAAGAACAGCAGAAUUGCCUUCGCCCGCCCUGCCCCUCGCCUGCUGCAGAAGCUUCCAGAAACUCCCUGGUGGGCGACCCAGCCCGAGCUGCCUGGGGCCCCAAGGGAAGCUGAACGCCCUGUGGGCUCCUGGGAUGGUUCUUCCCGUUCUUUGCGCCGCCUUCACCCAUUGAAGGAGCCUGUGCCCACCCUGCCCAGUCGCUUUCCGGGCCGCUGAGGAGCUUCCGCUGCCAUCUUCGGAUCCUGUGUUCCGCACGGGGGCUCCACCAGGGCAGGGAUGGUGAAUGGGGAAAUGGAGAGAGAACCUGAAAGAGCCCCAAACUCGAGGACCUAUUGCUCCCCAAGAAUAACAUCUUCCAGAAGAACUAGACAGAAAACUAGGCGUCUGGGAACUCUGAAAUCCUUGGAGGAGUAGCAUCAUCAUGACCCUCUGUGUUCCUUUUGGCAAAGGACUUGCUCCCAUUGUUUGCUUGUUCAAUUGUCUGUCCGUUAAAUAAAUAAAAC
rnacentral:lncRNA from 1 species